GGGGAAUUAGCUUAGUGGUAGAGCAUCUGUUUUGCAUACAGAAGGUCAUCGGUUCAAAUCCGGUAUUCUCCA
rnacentral:tRNA from 1 species